AACGAACGCUGGCGGCAGGCCUAACACAUGCAAGUCGAGCGCCCAGCAAUGGGAGCGGCGGACGGGUGAGUAACACGUGGGAACAUGCCCUUCGGUACGGAAUAACCCAGGGAAACUUGGGCUAAUACCGUAUACGUCCUCAGGGAGAAAGAUUUAUCGCCGAAGGAUUGGCCCGCGUCCGAUUAGCUAGUUGGUGAGGUAAUGGCUCACCAAGGCUGCGAUCGGUAGCUGGUUUGAGAGAACGAUCAGCCACACUGGGACUGAGACACGGCCCAGACUCCUACGGGAGGCAGCAGUGGGGAAUCUUGGACAAUGGGGGAAACCCUGAUCCAGCCAUGCCGCGUGAGUGAUGAAGGCCUUCGGGUUGUAAAACUCUUUCGCGCGCGACGAUAAUGACGGUAGCGCGAGAAGAAGCUCCGGCUAACUUCGUGCCAGCAGCCGCAGUAACAC
rnacentral:rRNA from 1 species